CUAUCUUAGUAAUACAUAUUAAAACCAUCAAAAAUAAUUAAGCGGCCUUAUUACAUUUGAAAACCCAAAACUUCAAACGUAAAUAAAAGGAUGUCCAGUUCACCAAAAGAAAAUCAAACUUUCAGAACGGGUGGACACUCCGAAUUCCUUCACAGCUCCAAGCCCACUAUGGUUGGGGAUUUCCUGCGUGGAUGAAAAUAAAAGGGGUGAGUUUGGGGAAACUCAGUGUGUAAAAUAACCCAACCAUAGCCUAUAUCAGCUCAAACCACAGAAAUAGAAUAAGUUGGCCUUAGCCCAGAACAGAAUUCAGAAUAAAGCCCAUAGGCCCAUAACAGAACAGAACAGAUAUUACAUGUUUAUGCAGAAACCCAACCAUAUCCAACCGUAUACACCCCCGUACCAACCUUACACCGUGUGGGGAGACAACUCGACCCACAUAACCGCUACACACCACAGAAUUUGCAGCAUGGCUGCCAGAACAGAUAAUGUGAUAGAGUCACCAGAUACAGAUAAUCGUGGCAGAGCCACCAGAACAGAUAUAUGUGGCAGAGCCACCAGAUCAGAUAUUUGUGGCAGAGCCACCAGAUCAGAUAUUUGUGGCAUAGCCACCAGAACGCUUCCUCCAUAAUAUAACCCAUGUCCCCAUGCAACAGAUAUAUAAUCAUGGCAUACAUCAUACAGAAUCAGAUCGUCAUGCUUUUCAGUCAAAAUUAACCCUAGGGGUAUAACGGUAAUUUACACCUAGGGGUAUAACAGUAAUUUUCCAUACAUAGGGGUAUUAUAGUAAUUUAGCUACUUUUAGGGUUUUCAUGCAUAUCCUAACUAUUUACGUACUAUCAGAAUACUUACCGCGCAUACUUACCGAAUUGGGCCCGUUGGCCCAUGAACCCGAUCUUUGGCCCAUUAAGCCCAAAUUAUCAAAAUGUACGAAAUUGCGCGUACUGCAGUUUAUUACUUUAGAUUACCAAAUAUACAAACCCAACUAUCUUACGAGCAUUCGCACACUCGCAAAUUCCCAAAAUACUGACUUUUCGGCAUUUCUGCUUUUCGGCUUUUGCCAAUCUAGUCUAUGAGAGGGUGUCAGUUACACACCUGUUUGCGACGAUAUGCUGACGAGAUCCACACACGAACCGCCUACAAUUGGAUUACUAACACGUUAAUCUAACUAUUCAAAUACAAACUACGUAUUAACCCCUUACAAUAUUCGGCCAACCACACCUACAGAUCAUAGUAAGCUUAUAAGAAAUCAAUAAGCAACUCAUUAACAAAUUUUUGUCAAUGUUUACCACAUAAUCAUAAUUUCACUGCAAGCUGUCUUCCUGAGCAACAGUCACUAAAUCAUUUAUAACUGGAGCUACGAAACUCCAAAUAAAGUUCCGUUAAUUUUCCAUGAAAAUAGACUUAUAUAUCUUUUAUCCAUAAAAUUUUCAGAAUUUUUGGUAUGGCCAAUCAAUACCAGAUUUUUCUUAAAGUUUCCUAUGUUUCACUGUUUGACUAAUCUGACCACUCUUCAUUACGAAUAAAAUUUCUCAUUGUACAGAAUUCAAAAUAUGUUCUUGUUUAUUUCAUUAGAAACUAGACUCAAUAAGCUUUAAUUACAUAAUUUAUUCAGCUUCUAAUUCAUCUCCCACAAUUUAUGGUGAUUUUCCAAAGUCACGUUACUGCUGCUAUCCCAAGCAGAUUUAUUACCAAAUCACUCUUAAAGUAUAAUCUCCAUUUCAUCAUUUUAAAGCACAACAUGUUAGUCGAUUUUUCCCUUUAGCAUCUAAGGCACAUGCAUGCUCAUUUGUUUGGCUCAACUUCACCUAUCUUCCAUUUUUCAUCAAAAGAACAUGAAACAACAACCAUUUCCUUCAUUUUAAUUCAUGACUAAAUGCUCACAACACAACUAAAAAUCAAAAUAUACUUCAAGAGUUAAGGUAGAAUCAAGAAGAACUCAUGAACCUCAAAAUAGAAACAAGGUACCAAGAACUUACCUUCAAUUUUCCUCCUCCUAAUGACCGAAUACUCAAGAGCUUUCUCCUCUCCUUUCUCUUCUCUAACUUUCAGCUAUGAUGAACAAAGAUGGACAAAACUUUGUUCUUUUCACCCCUUUUUCUUUUAAUAAAACUUCA
rnacentral:lncRNA from 1 species